rnacentral:rRNA from 1 species
CCGAAGCCUAUCAAACUAAGAAUGCCGGAAUAUUGAUGCAUGGGAGUCAGACUGUGUGAGAUAAGUCUCAUAGUCAAAAGGGAAACAGCCCAGAUCUACAGCUAAGGUCCCAAAGCAGGUUUAAGUGGAAAAGGAUGUGAAGUUGCUAAGACAACCAGGAUGUUGGCUUAGAAGCAGCCACUCAUUCAAAGAGUGCGUAAUAGCUCACUGGUCGAGUGACUUUGCGCCGAAAAUUCAACGGGGCUAAAACCUGCACCGAAGCUUAGGCAGCGUCUUUGACGCUGGGUAGGGGAGCGUUGUAUACGAGGUGAAGCAUUAGCGCAAGCGGGUGUGGAUUGUAUACAAGUGAGAAUGCCGGAAUGAGUAGCGAGAAUGAUGUGAGAAUCAUCAUGGCCGAAAGCCUAAGGUUUUUGGAGGAAGGUUCGUCCGCUCCAAGUUAGCCGGGAGCUAAGGUAAGGCCGAAAGGCGUAGCCGAUGCACAUACGGUAGAGAUUCCGUAGCCACCGAAAGAGUUAAGCAUGGGGACACUUUUGAAGUGUUGGAGCCGGGAGUUGGUUCCGGUAGUGAUCGAGUGAAAUAUAGUAGCGAAGUCCAGCAUGGAAAGAGGCGAGAAAAGCCAUGUGUAUUUCUAAGGUGCCCGUACCGCAAACCGACACAGGUAGGUAGGAAGAAGAUUCUAAGGCCAACGGGAGAAGGGUUGUUAAGGAACUCGGCAAGUUGACCCCGUAACUUCGGAAUAAGGGGUGCUCAGAGAUGAGCCGCAGAGAAUCGGCCCAAGCAACUGUUUAGCAAAAACACAGGUCUGUGCUAAAUCGAAAGAUGACGUAUACGGGCUGACGCCUGCCCGGUGCUGGAAGGUUAAGAGGAGAUGUGCAAGCAUUGAAUCGAAGCCCCAGUAAACGGCGGCCGUAACUAUAACGGUCCUAAGGUAGCGAAAUUCCUUGUCAGGUAAGUUCUGACCCGCACGAAAGGCGUAAUGAUUUGGGCACUGUCUCAACAGCCCGCCCGGCGAAAUUGUAGUACUGGUGAAGAUGCCAGUUACCCGCAACUAGACGGAAAGACCCCAUGGAGCUUUACUGCAGCUUAAUACUGGAAUUCGGUAAAUCAUGUACAGGAUAGGUGGGAGACAGGGAAGCAUUGGCGUCAGCCAGUGUGGAGUCGCUGGUGGGAUACCACUCUUGAUUUGCUGGGUUUCUAACCUGCGGCCGUGAAUCCGGUCGGGGGACACUGUUAGGCGGGCAGUUUGACUGGGGCGGUCGCCUCCAAAAGAGUAACGGAGGCGCUCAAAGGUUGGCUCAGCACGGACGGAAAUCGUGCAAUGAGUGUAAACGUAUAAGCCAGCCUAACUGCGAGACCGACGGGUCGAGCAGUAACGAAAGUUGGAGUUAGUGAUCCGGUGGUAUGUGAGUGGAAAUGCCAUCGCUCAACGGAUAAAAGCUACCCUGGGGAUAACAGGCUGAUCUCCCCCAAGCGUCCACAGCGACGGGGAGGUUUGGCACCUCGAUGUCGGCUCGUCACAUCCUGGGGCUGUAUUCGGUCCCAAGGGUUCGGCUGUUCGCCGAUUAAAGUGGCACGCGAGCUGGGUUCAGAACGUCGUGAGACAGUUCGGUCCCUAUCUGUUGCGGGCGCAGGAGAUUUGAAGGGAGCUGUCCUUAGUACGAGAGGACCGGGAUGGACAGACCUCUGGUGCACCAGUUGUCGUGCCAACGGCACAGCUGGGUAGCUACGUCUGGACGAGAUAAACGCUGAAAGCAUCUAAGUGUGAAACUCCCCCUAAGAUAAGAUCUCCCAUCCUUUAUGGAGUAAGGGACGACAAAGACUAUGUCGUUGAUAGGUCGGAAGUGUAAGUGCAGUAAUGCAUUGAGCUGACCGAUACUAAUAACCCGAGGGCUUGACCUA